UGGGGAGUCGCCAAGUUUGGUAAGGCACCGGACUUUGAAUCCGGCAUUCGCAGGUUCAAAUCCUGCCUCCCCAG
rnacentral:tRNA from 1 species